rnacentral:tRNA from 1 species
AAGGAAGAUAAAGUAAACGUACAGAACUGCUAAUUCUUAUGCCCACGGUUAAAAUCCGUGGCUUCCUCA